UACGGUAGGGGCAAGCGUUGUCCGGAAUCAUUGGGCGUAAAGAGCGUGUAGGCGGUUCGGUAAGUCGGCUGUGAAAGUCCAGGGCUCAACCCUGGGAUGCCGGUCGAUACUGCCGGACUAGAGUUCGGAAGAGGCGAGUGGAAUUCCCGGUGUAGCGGUGAAAUGCGCAGAUAUCGGGAGGAACACCAGUGGCGAAGGCGGCUCGCUGGGCCGGACCUGACGCUGAGACG
rnacentral:rRNA from 1 species